UGAACGCUGGCGGCGUGCUUAACACAUGCAAGUCGAACGAAGAUAUUUAGAAUGAGAGCUUCGGCAGGAUUUUUAUCUAUCUUAGUGGCGGACGGGUGAGUAACGUGUGGGCAACCUGCCCUGUACUGUGGAAUAAUCAUUGGAAACGAUGACUAAUACCGCAUGUGGUCCUCGGAAGGCAUCUUCUGAGGAAGAAAGGAUUUAUUCGGUACAGGAUGGGCCCGCAUCUGAUUAGCUAGUUGGUGAGAUAACAGCCCACCAAGGCGACGAUCAGUAGCCGACCUGAGAGGGUGAUCGGCCACAUUGGGACUGAGACACGGCCCAAACUCCUACGGGAGGCAGCAGUGGGGAAUAUUGCACAAUGGGCGAAAGCCUGAUGCAGCAACGCCGCGUGAAGGAUGAAGGGUUUCGGCUCGUAAACUUCUAUCAAUAGGGAAGAAACAAAUGACGGUACCUAAAUAAGAAGCCCCGGCUAACUACGUGCCGGCAGCCGCGGUAAUACGUAGGGGGCAAGCGUUAUCCGGAAUUACUGGGUGUAAAGGGAGCGUAGGCGGCAUGGUAAGCCAGAUGUGAAAGCCUUGGGCUUAACCCGAGGAUUGCAUUUGGAACUAUCAAGCUAGAGUACAGGAGAGGAAAGCGGAAUUCCUAGUGUAGCGGUGAAAUGCGUAGAUAUUAGGAAGAACACCAGUGGCGAAGGCGGCUUUCUGGACUGAAACUGACGCUGAGGCUCGAAAGCGUGGGGAGCAAACAGGAUUAGAUACCCUGGUAGUCCACGCCGUAAACGAUGAGUGCUAGGUGUCGGGGAGGAAUCCUCGGUGCCACAGCUAACGCAAUAAGCACUCCACCUGGGGAGUACGACCGCAAGGUUGAAACUCAAAGGAAUUGACGGGGGCCCGCACAAGCGGUGGAGCAUGUGGGUUUAAUUGGAAGCAACGCGAAGAACCUUACCAAGGCUUGACAUCCCGAUGACCGCUCUAGAGAUAGAGCUUCUCUUCGGAGCAUCGGUGACAGGUGGUGCAUGGUUGUCGUCAGCUCGUGUCGUGAGAUGUUGGGUUAAGUCCCGCAACGAGCGCAACCCUUAUCUUCAGUAGCCAUCAUUCAGUUGGGCACUCUGGAGAGACUGCCGUGGAUAACACGGAGGAAGGUGGGGAUGACGUCAAAUCAUCAUGCCCCUUAUGUCUUGGGCUACACACGUGCUACAAUGGCUGGUAACAAAGUGACGCAAGACGGCGACGUUAAGCAAAUCACAAAAACCCAGUCCCAGUUCGGAUUGUAGUCUGCAACUCGACUACAUGAAGCUGGAAUCGCUAGUAAUCGCGAAUCAGCAUGUCGCGGUGAAUACGUUCCCGGGCCUUGUACACACCGCCCGUCACACCAUGGGAGUUGGAAGCACCCGAAGUCGUAGACCUAACCGUAAGGAAGGAGCCGCCGAAGGUG
rnacentral:rRNA from 1 species